GGCUCUGAUGGUGCCGGGGUGCUGGGGUUCCGGGGUGGGCCCGAGCUGGGCCGGGCCUGCGGGGGGGCUCCUCUGAGGGAACGGGGCUGGCGCGGGGAGCCCGGGAUCCGGCAUCGGAGAGGAGCCGGCCUCGGACAGCCCGGAAUAGUGGGAAAUCCUGCAGAAAAAGCGAUGCCGUUUUGUACAAGAUAUGUGACCAUCUCCUGUAGAAGUGAGCAAAGCAAACCUCUGGUGGCCCUUGAACGUGCGAGGUGAUGGUGGAGAGAGGUGGUUAGUGUUGCGGUCGCUGCUUCAGAGAGGGUCAGAUCUAUAAAGAGAUCUGAGCAAGGAAGUCAAAGGCCCUGUGAAUAUACAGGAAUCUAUCCUUCAGACUCCAGCGUUGAGAGCAUUUGGAUGCAUUAAUGGGAGAACAUUGGAAGGAGUCAGAGGAAAGAAAAGGGAGAAAACAAAUAAGGCCACAGUGAAGUCUUUCUAAAAGAGCCUUGGCCUUGCUUCCAGCCCCUCAGGACUCUGUUUACCUACUCUGCGCACUGCUCCCUGGAAACAGAUGUUAAAGAAGGAGUUCGGUUUUGGUGUGUUUUCUCACUGUCAUCUGUAUGCCAAGAAGCAGGACCAGAACACACAAAGAUGGAGGAGAUACUUUCAGAUUGCCUGUAAACAGUCCUCGGUAGACAAGGGGCCUUGAAUUCGAGGGUCUUUGGUAGCACUGUCCAUGGCUCCAUGGAGGGGAGGGGGAAAGAAAAGUACCUUUUUGCCUCUGCUGCAGCUGUCUCACGAUGCUCAGUAGGUACCCCUGGCAGAUGGGGACCAGGGCCAUUGUGCUCUGGGGUGCCCAUCCCAGCAUGGGAGCAGAGAGGGAACGUCAUGGAGCAGAGCCUGGUCAAGAGCCAUGGCACCAUCCUCUGCAGCCUGUGGGACAGGCCUGUGGCUGCUGUCCCCCUCAUCUGUCUGGCCUCUUCUUCAGGGUAUGGGUCGCCUAAAACCAAAGUUCCUAAAAGAGACUAAAAAGACAAGGACAGCUGAAAAAAACAUGAAUGAAAAAGCAAAUAAAUAAAACGCGUAAAGAAAAUAAAAAGCAGAAGAGAAGAAUGUGAUUAUAAAUCCCCACAAAGCAAUAAAAGUCUGAAAGAAUCUCGAAUAAAAGUUCCCUGAGCAA